UGCCAGCAGCCGCGGUAAUACGGAGGGUCCGAGCGUUAAUCGGAAUUACUGGGCGUAAAGGGUGCGUAGGCGGCCCAUCAAGUUAGACGUGAAAGCCCCGGGCUCAACCUGGGAAUUGCGUUUAAUACUGGUGAGCUAGAGUACGAGAGAGGAAAGUGGAAUUCCUAGUGUAGAGGUGAAAUUCGUAGAUAUUAGGAAGAACACCAGUGGCGAAGGCGGCUUUCUGGCUCGUAACUGACGCUGAGGCACGAAAGCGUGGGGAGCAAACAGGAUUAGAUA
rnacentral:rRNA from 1 species